UACGGGGGGGGCAAGCGUUGUUCGGAAUUACUGGGCGUAAAGGGCUCGCAGGCGGCCAACUAAGUCGGACGUGAAAUCCCUCAGCUUAACUGGGGAACUGCGUCCGAUACUGGAUGGCUCGAGUUUGGGAGAGGGAUGCGGAAUUCCAGGUGUAGCGGUGAAAUGCGUAGAUAUCAUUAGGAACGCCGGUGGCGAAGGCGGCGCACUGGUCCUUUUCUGACGCUGAGGCGCGAAAGCCAGGGGAGCAAACGGG
rnacentral:rRNA from 1 species